GGGCCCGCACAAGUGGUGGAGCAUGUGGUUUAAUUCGAUGCAACGCGAAGAACCUUACCAAUCCUUGAAAUCUAGCGAAGUUCGCAGAGAUGUGAAUGUGCCUUCGGGAACGCUAUGACAGGUGUUGCAUGGCUGUCGUCAGCUCGUGUCGUGAGAUGUAUGGUUAAGUCCAGUAACGAGCGCAACCCCCUAUCCUUAUUUGCCAGCGCGUAAUGGCGGGAACUAUAGGGAGACUGCCGGGUGAAACCCGGAGGAAGGCGGGGACGAGGUCAAGUCAUCAUGGCCCUUAUGGAUUGGGCUACACACGUGCUACAAUGGGAAGUACAGAGGGAUGCGAAAGCGUGAGCUGAAGCCAAACCCUUAAAACUUUUCUUAGUCCGGAUUGGAGUCUGCAACUCGACUCCAUGAAGUCGGAAUCACUAGUAA
rnacentral:rRNA from 1 species